rnacentral:rRNA from 1 species
UGAACGCUGGCGGCAUGCCUAACACAUGCAAGUCGAUCGGUAAGGUCCUUCGGGAUACACGAGAGGCGGACGGCUGAGUAACGCAUGGGAACGCACCCUACACUGAGGGAUAAGAUGCCGAAAGGUGUUCUAAUACCGCAUGUGGUCUUCGGAUUAAAGUAUUUAUACGGUGAAGGAGCGGCCUGUGUCAUAUUAGGUAGUUGGUGAGGUAAUGGCUCACCAAGCCAACGAUGUGUAGCUGGUCUGAGAGGAUGAUCAGCCAGACUGGAACUGAGAACGGUCCAGACUCCUACGGGAGGCAGCAGUGAGGAAUCUUCCACAAUGGGCGAAAGCCUGAUGGAGCAAUGCCGCGUGCAGGAUGAAGGCCUUCGGGUUGUAAACUGCUUUUAUUAGAGAAGAAUAUGACGGUAACUAAUGAAUAAGGGACGGCUAACUACGUGCCAGCCGCCGCGGU